ensembl:lncRNA
GUUAAAACUUCUUGAACAUUUGCUUUUUUAACAGUUAACUAUUAUAAUCAGGUUAUGAUUAUGGCAAUUCGAUCAAAUAUAAUUUACAAAGAAAACUUAUGAAUAGAAGCCAUGGAGAGCUAAUAACUUUCAUUAUUACCAACCUGAUAAACGACAGAGAGAAAAUGAAAGUAAGUACAGUACUAGGAAACAACGUAAAUAAUCAUCUAAAAUAUUUUUUUGUAUUGCUUACAUUUUUUCUUAUAUUAUUGCUUUACACUUCAGUUUUUAUUAUUUUUUUCCCCCAAAUGAUGAGUGAUAAAAUCAUUUACAGCCAAUCGGAGACGCAGGAACAGUAAAAACGGCUGGUGUGCACGUCAGUGUAGUUAUUUACAAUAAAUAAAACAGUGAAUAAAUUGGUAAGUGACAUAAUAAUGAUUCAUCGAAUUACAUUAAACUUUUAUAACAAUGACUUUUAUUUUGACAUCAAACUCCGGAAGUUGUCUCCGGAAGUCCUCGCUGAGCGCAAAGAGUUGUACCUGUCUGCGUGCGUAUGUUCAAAAGAAACCGGUUUAUUUGUCCGGCGUGAAUUACAUUUGUGGUCUUCGGUGUGGACACGAAUGUACCGCUUAUACUUCGAGUCAAGUGACCAAUUUUAGGUACAUGAUAGUUGUUUUUAGUUUGGCUUGCUAUAUGUUUCCUGUCUACAUUUGUCAGCUGAGUGAUCGUUCACCCUGAUAACAGCAGGUUCAAACAAAAUAUCAUACAGUUGACACUGUAAAAAUAUAAUAAAUUAAUAUACCGUUGCCUUUAAAAAGUCAUCUCGCAGUAAUUUUAUAUCUUCUUUUCACAAAAUAACGUGUAGAGGUCUACAUGCUAAGUAUUUAGUGAAAAAAUGCGCAGAUAUAAAAUACUCGUACAUAAAACAGUAGGCUGCAAUAAUAUGAAAGCUUUAUUCAACCACUCCCACAGGUUUAAACUCUUCUAAAUGUCAUGGAGAACUUUGUGGUUUACAUUCCCAAGGAAGCAUGUGUCAAAAACAUGCCUCUGCAGUCCCUGUCCAGCUCCACAGCCAGGAAGAUCAGUGUCGCUCUGUUUCCGCAUGGAUCAGAGAAACAGGUGCCGCAGACGGUGACGCGGAUCUGUCCGGUUGAGCUGCGGGAGAAAGAAGUGGCUGUGGGCAAGGACCGCAGAGAACCGGUCCCACUGAGCCAGAGGCAGCUGGUUUCCAAAAUAACUCCAGGUCAGUUUUCACUGCCUGUUGUGAGUUCCAGCAAAACUGCCUUUAAGGCCUUAAGAAGGAUCUUAAAAGAACAUAAGCCUGAAAUACAGUUUUCGGGGCUGGACAGUGAAGCUGCCUCUCUGCCCAGCAUCAGGAAUUCUGAUGUUCGGCGAAAUGCCAUCAUUCUGUAUAACGGCCAGAUCUUCCUCUCAGUGAGGCGAGUGAGAUUACAGAACUCUCCCUCAGCACCUCCAGCUGUGUGUCCUGUUUCUCCCAGUCAACAGAACCAGAUUAACACAUCUAGAUGUCAAGCACAAGCACUCCUGGAAACGUCACCCAGACCACAACAGAGCAAGAGUCAGGAUGUUCAGACUCCAGUCAGAGAUCUUGAUAUUAACACUCUUCUGAACAAAGUCUCUGAAGAAAUGCCUGAACAAUGCUGUACAGACAAAGAAUGUCAAAAGGAAGAGGAGACAGCCUCAGAGUCCAGGUCACGGAGUAGCGACCCUAAAUCUCCUGAGGGUCUGGAGUCUGGUCAGGAGACGUCUAGUUCCCUGCCUAGUAUCUUCCAGCCGUCCCAGAUCAACCACACAUCUUCUGGCAUCUCAGAACAGCCCGAAGAAGCAGCAGGAGGACAAAGAGAGACAUCUGAGGAUGACAAUGAGCGUUCAGAGGGCGCAUUGCUCCCCAGGGCCGAGAGCUGUCUUGCAUUUGAUUUUGAACAGUUGGCCCAGGAGGAGAGAAUCAACCACCUACGAGCUCAGCUGAGACAGAAGGAAGCCGCACUCAGCAUCUUCAACUUGAAGCCGACGGAUCAGAUUUAG